UACGGAGGUUGCAAGCGUUAUCCGGAUUUAUUGGGUUUAAAGGGUGCGUAGGCGGGAUGAUAAGUCAGUGGUGAAAGCCUGCAGCUUAACUGUAGAAAUGCCAUUGAUACUGUCGUUCUUGAGUCUAGUUGAGGUGGGCGGAAUGUGUAAUGUAGCGGUGAAAUGCUUAGAUAUUACACAGAACACCAAUUGCGUAGGCAGCUCACUAAACUAUAACUGACGCUGAGGCACGAAAGCGUGGGGAGCAAACAGG
rnacentral:rRNA from 1 species